UCGUAGUUGGAUUUCGGAGAGCACGAGAGUCGCAGUCCAGCGCAAUGCCGUGUAUCUGCACCUCGGCCUCCUCCUUUCGAAUGCCGGCGCCAUUCCUUAACUGGUUUGGUGUUUUUUAGGCUUCGGAAUGUUUACUUUGAAAAAAAGAGAGUGUUUGAAGCAGGCGUAAUACCUAGCCUUUGAAUACGUUAGCAUGGGAUAAUGGAAUAGGAUUGCGGUGCCUAUUUUUGUUGGUUUCUAGUGUCUGCAAUAAUGAUUAAAAGGGACAGUCGGGGGUAUUAGUAUUUAGUUGUCAGAGGUGAAAUUCUAAGAUUUUCUAAGGACUAACUACUGCGAAAGCAUUUAUCAAGGAUGUUUUCAUUAAUCAAGAACGAAAGUUGGGGGAUCGAAGACGAUCAGAUACCGUCGUAGUCCUAACCUUAAACGAUGCCGACCAAGAAUGAGGAGAAGUUACAUGGAUGACUCUCCUCGCUCUUUGUGAGAAAUCACAAGUAUUCAGGUUCUGGGGGGAGUAUGGUCGCAAGGCUGAAACUUAAAGGAAUUGACGGAAGGGCACCACCAGGCGUGGAACCUGCGGCUUAAUUUGACCCAACACGGGAAAACUUACCAGGACCAGACUCGGGAAUGAUAGACAGAUUAAAAGCUCUUUCUUGAUUCCGAGGGUGGUGGUGCAUGGCCGUUUCCAGUUGGUGGAGUGAUUUGUCAGGUUAAUUCCGAUAACGAACGAGACCUUAACCUAUUAAAUAGUCGUGCUUUUACUGUUUGCCCGAGGCUGUAAGAGGCCGGAGGCUUGGCAAAGGCAUGGACUUCUUAGAGGGACUGCUCGAUUGUAGCGAGCGGAAGCUUGAGGCCAAAACAGGUCUGUGAUGCCCCUAGAUGUCCUGGGCUGCACGCGCGUUACACUGGUGCACUCAACGAGUUUUUAUCCUUGCCCUGAAAGGGUUGGGUAAUCUUAUGAACGUGCAUCGUGCUUGGGAUAGACGAUUGUAACUAUUCGUCUUGAACGAGGAAUGCCUAGUAAUCGCAAGUCAUCAACUUGCGCUGAUUACGUCCCUGCCCUUUGUACACACCGCCCGUCGCUCCUACCGAUCGAAUGAUCCGGCAAGAACUCCGGAUAACCGGGUCAGCGGCCCUCCGUCAAGGAGCGGACGCACCCGUGCUA
rnacentral:rRNA from 1 species